AUUGAGAUCUGUCCCUCCAAUGGGACUACCAGUAGCCACACACCAUUGGAAAUACCUCACAGCAAUGUGUGAUUUUGCUUGUCUCAGGGCUGUUUAUUAGGUCUAUUGGAAGAAACUACAAGACAGCU
rnacentral:snoRNA from 1 species